GGGCGAUUAGCGCAGUUGGCUAGCGCGCUUCCUUGACAUGGAAGAGGUCCCCGGUUCGAGUCCGGGAUCGCUCA
rnacentral:tRNA from 3 species